CGUCUGUCAUUCGCUUCGCAGCGGUCGUCGUCGUCGCGCCUCGCGAGUUCGGUGUGUGAAAAACCUUUUUCUACUUUUUCUGCUGCUGCCAUUUUGCUAGAAUUUUUCGCUCGCGCGUCGGUUCCUCCAAAACCUCCUCACGCCAAAGAAAUGUCGUCCGGUCGUAACGAGUGCCGCAUCUACGUCGGAAAUCUGCCACCGGACAUCCGGACCAAGGACAUCCAGGACCUUUUCCACAAGUUUGGAAAGGUUACGUUUGUCGAUCUGAAGAAUCGUCGAGGGCCGCCAUUUGCCUUCGUAGAAUUUGAAGAUAAUCGCGACGCGGACGAUGCCGUGAAGGCCCGCGACGGGUACGAUUACGAUGGGUAUCGGCUGCGGGUGGAGUUCCCCCGGGGUGGCGGGCCCGGGAGUUACCGGGGCAGCCGGGGAAGCACCAGCGGUGACCGCGGUGGUGGUAGUAGUGGCCGCGACCGGGGUGGAAACAACCGUGGCCCUCCGGCACGCCGGUCACAGUUCCGGGUGGUGGUGACGGGCCUUCCGGCGUCCGGUUCGUGGCAGGACCUGAAGGACCAUAUGCGGGAGGCGGGCGAUGUUUGCUUCGCCGAUGUGUACAAAGACGGAACGGGAGUGGUCGAGUAUUUACGCCACGAAGAUAUGAAAUAUGCCAUCAAAAAGCUGGACGAUUCGCGCUUUCGGUCGCAUGAGGGCGAAGUUGCCUACAUUCGUGUACGUGAGGACUCUGGCAACGACGACCGCCGCGGCGGUGGAGAGCAUCGCGAUCGGUCAUACUCGCCUCGCAGACGCCGCGGAACGCCAACCUACUCGCCAGUCCAGCGCAGCUUCUCGCGGUCCCGUUCGCGCUCCUUCAACUACUAGGCCUCGGGGACGGUCGGAUGACCACCUUUCGGAUCCGGAUUUCCCCGAGUUGGAAUGGAUUCCAAGACGAAAGGAGAUUGUCUCCUUGCUUGUGUGGUGUGAGUUUGCUUCACUUCACAGGACUCGUAGGAAUCAGGACUCGGGAUAUUGAAGGACCUCCUCGGAUUCUCUUUUGCUCAUUUAAUAACAUAAAAACGGAUCACUGGAUCGCGCAGAUCAGGACAGGAUUCGGGACUUGCGAACUGGAACUGGAAACAGGAAACGAACGCCGCAGGAACGCCCCCACAUUUGGAUGGAACGGUUGCUGCUGCUUUGAUAACUGAAGGUGUGUGUUCCACCCGUUUCGCGUGGUGGACAACCUUCAUUUUUCCAAAUUACGACACGUUGCGUCGAGACAUCGAUGCCGAGCUCAAGUCUGUAGCGUCGGUUUGCGAUGCCCCCUGGAUUUUCACUUCAAUUUCUCCCAAGGAUAAGGAAGAAACGCGCUACAAGGAAGUUUCAAGUCAGGAAGGACUCUUGGCACGCGUGGAUAAUUGUCAAAACCGGAUUUCGAACUGUUUCAUGGAAGUGAACCGACGCUACGCACGACGAUUCUUGGCAGCAAGUGCUCUCGGCGCAACAUUUGACCAAUUGUUUCUCGAAUUCCUGAACGAACAUUGUGGAAAUUUUAAAUUUUAUUCAUACUAGCGUAACGGUAUGAACCAAAAUGCAGCUAACGCAAAAAAAAGGAUAAAUUGGAUGGAUGGAGUUUGGACAAAUUGACUUUUAACCCCCCACUCUGGAAGGACUUCGCGGGAUCGUGUUGGGACAAUGUCAGGAUUUGAAAUUAGCCCACGUUCGUGUCGAAAAACUCUGCUCUGGACGACGUGGGACGACUGUAUGAGAUCGAUCUUCUGUCUUCUCAAGGCCCUAGCUUUUCCCCUGUGCGCACCGUGGAACACACUUUUUCGCUGGAUUCGUUGUCUCGAGAGGAAGGAUUAUAUCGGUGUGUAUUACUGUUUCUCUCAACCUCUUUCUCUCAAUCUCUCACACUCAGGUACCAAUCCUUAACCUUUACCAGUCGGUUCUUAGUCAAUUUUCCUGUUUAACAAUCUUGUUUUAGAGACUUUUUGCACAUUUUCAUCUUUCUAACCAUUUCAUUCUUUUCGUUAGCGUUUAAUCCAAACAGUUUCUAGUAUAAUUUGUUUGCCUCCCUUUCAUCAAGAAUUCUUUUAAUUUCUCCGUUCGAUUUAACAUAGCAGUUAUUAUUCAUAACAAAUUUCUUUCGUUCAUACUUGCUAUGCAAAAAAAAAAAAAAAACGCAUCAAACCACGCGAAAUAGUCAAGUCUUGCUUAAUUAUUGUGUAGAAAAAACAAAAAACAAGCAUGAGACCACUUAGUCAAAACCCCUUGGGAGUGGUGGAACCGCACGGGUCACGUGUUUGACGGCCCAGUUUUCUUUGGAAUGACGUGAAAACAAAUCAAACCCCAUUUAUUUCAGUGCAGUAAAAUUAAGUUACAGAGUUACAGUAGAAGGAAUCGCACAGGAGGGAACGACCUAGCAGUUCCAAGGAGGAUAGUGAGUGUCCGUGGUGGUUUUGAAAUGAGUUUAAACAAAAGUCAGCUGGAAACAGUAAGUAAACACGAGUUUGGAGAGUUUUGCACCACGAUGCCAUACCGCAAGAGUGUGACAAAAGGAUUACGAUUACAGCAAUAAAAUGCGUUUUAAAAUCAA
rnacentral:misc_RNA from 1 species